rnacentral:rRNA from 1 species
AGUGAACGCUGGCGGCAGGCCUAACACAUGCAAGUCGAACGGCAGCACAGUAAGAGCUUGCUCUUAUGGGUGGCGAGUGGCGGACGGGUGAGGAAUACAUCGGAAUCUACUCUUUCGUGGGGGAUAACGUAGGGAAACUUACGCUAAUACCGCAUACGACCUACGGGCGAAAGCGGAGGACCUUCGGGCUUCGCGCGAUUGAAUGAGCCGAUGUCGGAUUAGCUAGUUGGCGGGGUAAAGGCCCACCAAGGCGACGAUCCGUAGCUGGUUUGAGAGGAUGAUCAGCCACACUGGAACUGAGACACGGUCCAGACUCCUACGGGAGGCAGCAGUGGGGAAUAUUGGACAAUGGGCGCAAGCCUGAUCCAGCCAUGCCGCGUGGGUGAAGAAGGCCUUCGGGUUGUAAAGCCCUUUUGUUGGGAAAGAAAAGCAGUCGGUUAAUACCCGAUUGUUCUGACGGUACCCAAAGAAUAAGCACCGGCUAACUUCGUGCCAGCCGCCGCAGUAAGAC